UUUUCGAAACAUUCGCUACGAAAUAUGUGGUGCUCACUUUUUUUCUCUUUGCACGUUUCGUGUAGAUGAACUUGAUGCUGAAGAGGACGAUAGAGAACCGGUCGAUGGAUAGUCAGUGAAGUCGUCAAUGACAACGAAGAUGAGGAAGACGGUUCUUCAAGAUGGAAGUUGAAGUGAGGAAGAUGCUGCUAUUUUUGUUCAUGAAGAUGUCAUUAGUACUUAAAGCGGAUUUAUAUUUGUUUCCCUAUAUGAACAUUGAGAGUCAAGUUGCCAGGUUUCUCUAUAUAUUCACGUGUUUAUGAAGUGAUGCAAGAAUGGAUGAAUUUGAGUUUUGACUUCCUGGUAGUCUCUCUUGCCCCCCUCUUGCUGUACUUUGUAUAUAGCUAUCUCUGCGUGUAUAGGGCUUGAGUGUAUAUGCAUCGAUACUAGCGGAUGCAAUCCUAUCAGUUUGUAUGCAUACUUCCAUUGCUUUACUUAUUCCUUGCAGUCGUAUGUGUUUAUAUUUCUGUAGCAAGAAAUAGAAAAUAUACCCUACGUUAAUGAAAGCAUGGGUUAUCGAAAUUGUAUAAUCUAUUCUGCUAUGAGUUACUUAGAAAUAAACAUUAUACGAGUCAUGUUCAAAAUUUGUCUACAUCAACAGCCACAACUCAUUG